UCUUUCGUAGUAUAGUGGUCAGUAUGCAAGCUUGUCAUGUUUCUAAGAAUAGAACAGCACUCGCUUGAGACCCGGGUUCAAUUCCCGGCGAGAGAG